rnacentral:rRNA from 1 species
UACGUAGGGGGCAAGCGUUGUCCGGAAUCAUUGGGCGUAAAGCGCGCGUAGGCGGCCCGAUAAGUCCGCUGUGAAAGUCAAAAGGCUCAACCUUUGAAUGCCGGUGGAUACUGUCGGGCUAGAGUCCGGAAGAGGCGAGUGGAAUUCCUGGUGUAGCGGUGGAAUGCGCAGAUAUCAGGAAGAACACCCGUGGCUAAGGCGGCUCUCUAGUACGGUACUGACGCUGAGACGCGAAAGCGUGGGGAGCGAACGGG